rnacentral:rRNA from 1 species
UACGGAGGGUGCAAGCGUUGUCCGGAUUCAUUGGGUUUAAAGGGUGCGUAGGCGGUUCCAUAAGUCAGUGGUGAAAUACGGCAGCUCAACUGUCGAGGUGCCAUUGAUACUGCGGAACUUGAGUACUGAUGAGGUAGGCGGAAUUGACGGUGUAGCGGUGAAAUGCUUAGAUAUCGUCAAGAACACCGAUAGCGAAGGCAGCUUACCAAGCAGUAACUGACGCUGAGGCACGAAAGUGCGGGGAUCAAACAGG